GCCACGAUAGGAGGGGACAGAAUGCCCGCAGCCAGUGGAGACUGGGGAAGAAAGUAAAAGAACCACUCCCCCGAUCUUCUAGAAAAUUCUAAGGCCCUUAUCACAUUGAUUUGAAGAUUCUGGCUUCUAGAAUUUUGAGGCAAUUCAUUUGGGUGUUUUAAACUGUGAUGGCCAACUUGACAGGAUCUAGAAUCGCCAUGGAAACCAGUCUCUGGGGGCUAUGUUGAGGGUCAUCUAGAUUCGGUUAAUUGAAGCUGGAAGACACAACGUAAAUGCGUGCGGCAUCAUCUCAAAGGCUGGGAACCUGGGCUGCAUAGAGAGGAGACGGUGAGCUGAGUGCCACCAUCCAUCUCUCUCUCUCUGCUUCCUGAUUGUGGGUGUCAUGUGACCAACUGCCCCAUGCUCCUGCUGCCAUGCCUUCCCCCUCCCAUGAUGGACUGUGUCCCCCAACUGUGAGCCACAAAUUUCGUGGACUCCUGGUCUCAAGAUGUCAAAGAAGAAAAGUAGCCCUUCCUCAAGCAAGGGUUGCUGGGUAGAAAGCAUGCUAAUAAAGGUCAAGAUGGCAGAAGAGCACGGCCCAUCCCCCUUCUCCUGGAUCUGUCCAGUGUUGGCCCGUAGGUGCUCCGGGCCCUUGCUACUCCAUUUCUAGCCCACGUGUGAGUCCAAGGCCUUUCUGGAAAGUCUAAUAUGAGCCUGGCCAUUGGGUCCUCA